GACGAACCGUGCGAACGUUGUUCGGAAUCACUGGGCUUAAAGGGCGCGUAGGCGGGCUAUCAAGUCCGGGGUGAAAUCCUCCCGCUCAACGGGAGAACUGCCUCGGAUACUGAUGGUCUCGAGGGGGAUAGGGGCACACGGAACUGUGGGUGGAGCGGUGAAAUGCGUUGAUAUCCAUAGGAACUCCGGUGGCGAAAGCGGUGUGCUGGAUCCCUUCUGACGCUGAGCGCGAAAGCCAGGGGAGCGAACGGG
rnacentral:rRNA from 1 species